UACAGAAAAUGCGAGCGUUAAUCGGAAUUACUAGACGUAAAGCAUGCGUAGACGGUUAUGUAAGUCAGGUGUGAAAGCCCCAAGCUCAACCUGGGAAUUGCAUUCGAGACUAUGUAGCUAAAAUGCAGAAAAGGAAAGCGGAAUUUCAGGUGUAGCGGUGAAAUGCGUAGAUAUCCGAAAGAACAUCAGUGGCGAAAGCGGCUUCCUGGUCCAGCACCGACGUUCAGGCACGAAAACGUGGGGAGCAAACAGG
rnacentral:rRNA from 1 species